UACGUAGGGUGCAAACGUUGCUCGGAAUUAUUGGGCGUAAAGCGCACGUAGGCGGACCAUCAAGUCGGUUGUGAAAUCCCUCAGCUUAACUGGGGAACUGCGUCUGAUACUGGUGAGCUUGAGUGCAGGAGAGGAACGCGGAAUUCCAGGUGUAGCGGUGAAAUGCGUAGAUAUCUGGAGGAACACCGGUGGCGAAGGCGGCGUUCUGGACUGCAACUGACACUGAAAAACGAAAGCCAGGGGAGCAAACGGG
rnacentral:rRNA from 1 species